rnacentral:rRNA from 1 species
GGAAUAUUGGACAAUGGGCGCAAGCCUGAUCCAGCCAUGCCGCGUGCAGGAUGACGGUCCUAUGGAUUGUAAACUGCUUUUGCACAGGAAGAAACAUCCCGACGUGUCGGGACUUGACGGUACUGUGAGAAUAAGGAUCGGCUAACUCCGUGCCAGCAGCCGCGGUAAUACGGAGGAUCCAAGCGUUAUCCGGAAUCAUUGGGUUUAAAGGGUCCGUAGGCGGUUUAGUAAGUCAGUGGUGAAAGCCCAUCGCUCAACGGUGGAACGGCCAUUGAUACUGCUAAACUUGAAUUAUUAGGAAGUAACUAGAAUAUGUAGUGUAGCGGUGAAAUGCUUAGAGAUUACAUGGAAUACCAAUUGCGAAGGCAGGUUACUACUAAUGGAUUGACGCUGAUGGACGAAAGCGUGGGUAGCGAACAGGAUUAGAUACCCUUG